rfam:Haemonchus placei strain MHpl1 genome assembly, scaffold: HPLM_scaffold0002398
GACCCAAACUUGAAGUAGAGCAGGUUAGAAGGAUCAUCCGACCCUACUAAACUACUUUACUACGAGUUUGUGCCC